CUUCCCCUCUCCAGGCCGAGCCGAGGUAGGGCUCGGAGGAGUGAAGAGGUGCACUCCGCGUCUCUAGCUGGUGACAGGGCCCGACAGCGAUGUUCAGGCCGGUGUGAACCGGGGCAGAGAUGAAAACCGAGAGCUGCCCAGAGGUGUUCACAUCCCAGAAGUUAAACUUCCGUUUCUCCCCCAAAAAGUUAAACUAGGAGUUCUGGUAUGAUCUAGCAAUCCUACCCCUAGGUAUAUACCCAGAACUGAAAUCAGGUGCUCAGAGAGACGCUUAAGAGCCAAAAGGUGGAAACGGGCCGGAAAUGUCCAACUGAUGAAUGGUUAGACAGAUCCAUCUGGUGGAAUAUUACUCAGCCACGGAGAGGAAUCGAGGGCAGAAUCGUACUACCACAGACCCCAGGGGGAGCCUUCUAGCCCUGGCGCUGUGUCCCCACUGCUCCCCGCUGCCUGACAGCUGGCGUCCUGGUCCUGCGACUGGUCCUGCAACUCCUUCAGCUCAGCCAGCACCGCCUCCAGCACUGACCUGGGCACUGCCAUCUCUGUCCUCCCUGUAAGUGGCGGGUCAUGGCAGGACCCACUCCACUGUUGGAAUCCAGGGUUGCUCUUCUGACCUUCAGAGCAAAUUAGCUGCCCCAGCACUGCCAUGGCACCUCUUUCCCUCCCUGCAGUGGCCAUGGUCACUGUGGGUCCUCGUUUCUGGUCACCUGUCCCCUAGAAGGUGAUCAGACCUGAACACAUGCAGGCUGGAGCUCCAUCCAUGUCCACAUGGCCCCAGAGCCUCACAGGGGCCAUCCCAAGUAUGCCACUUCGCUGUGCUGGUUGCUUUGACUUGGGGCACUCACCACCCGAGCAGCUUUCAUUCUGCCUGACAAGCCAGCCUUUCCCCACCAUCUGCCUUCUGUCCCCCAACACCACCAGAUCACUGCUUCUCUUCCCAGAGCCCCCAGCCCUGUGUCUCUGUGUAGCUCAAAUCACCCAGCCUUUCACAGGGUGUCGCAUCGUGCAGGACCCGGCACACUGCACAGUUACCCGAGGCCUUCCCUGUUCACCACUUCCACGCCAGAACAGCCAGGGAAGCCUGGAGUGUAGCGGGCAGCCAGCUGUCCUUAUCCCGCACCCCUUCCAGGGCUGACAUCCGGCCAUGCUCCCCCAACCCACCGUCUGCCCAAACCUCUCCAUGGCUGCAUUUCACCAGCAGUAGGAAAAUAAAAGCCGCUUACCCUGAAUCUCUAGGCUCGCUCCUUCCUGGUGACCUUUCCUCACCCCGGUUCUCAGGUUAGUAAAACAGGACAGUCAUCGGGAGGAUCAAUGGCAUGACGAGGAAAGGGACUGGCAUGGUGCAGGGCUCCGCAGCUGUGUCCCCGCCCCGCUCCUGCCUGCCCGUCACCGGGUCAGUCCUCCAGUCCUCUCUGUCCUCCUGGAGUGGGACCAGCCUCAGCCUGAGGGAGAGGAACUGGGUGGCACUGGAGAGAAGGCGUCGGAGGAUUUCAGGCCUGACCAGCUGCCUGAUGUGUCUGGCUGGGCACCUGCAAGUCAGUGGUGGCCGCUGACCCACAGCCCCUGGUCCUCACAUCCCCAGGAAAGUGGCCUCUAGGCCCUGGACUGCCCACCUUGAGUCAUCAGAGCUGGGGAGCAGCCUUCCUUCUCCACCCCCUCCCGGCUGUGACCUAGGCACCCCAGGCAGGAGCAGGGUGCUGCCAGGACUUGCCUAAGUGCCUGCCUCAGGGCGGAGAGCUCAGACUGCAAGCGUCUGCCAGGAUUGCAGCCGAGAACCACCCAGAAGUCCUGGUGGCCUGGCUGACCACUCCUGAGUCGCCAGAACCUGAGCAGCCACAGACAGCUCCCAAAUGAGCCGCCCUUCCCGGAGGAUGGGCUCUUCUGCCCCAGUCCUCCUGCGCAGUGGGUUAUGACCUGGGCUAGGUUGGGGUGAGGAUCGGGGUUCUGGGGUGGGGGAGACAGGAUGGAAGAAGCUUGCCAAUUGCUCGCAUUGCAGUGUGAAAGUGCUCAACGUGACAGUGUGUUUUCAGAUGGUUAAAAUGGGCUGGCAAGGUGGUACGUGGCUGUAAUCCCAGCAGCGUGAGAGGCUGAGGCAGGAGGGGUGCAGGUUUGAGCUCACCCUGGACAAUUUAGGGAUGUUGUCAGGAGGGCAACAACUUGAAAUAAAUUAAAAAAUAGAAGUGCUGGUUACAGCUUGGGCAGUGUGAGGGCCCCGAGUUCAAUUCCCAGUGCCAGACACACACACACACACAUACCUCAUACAUGGUUAAGACGGUAAGUUUUAUGUUAAGUAUAAUUUAAAAUAAAUCGUACUUUAAAAAGAAAGAAAUGGCCAGAUGUGGUGCUGCACUGUAAUCCCAGCACUCAGGAGGCUGAGACAGGAGGUUACCAUGAGUUGGAGGCCGCCUGAACUACACAGACCCUGUCAAAAGAAAAAAGGUUGAUGUUUUGAAAUUUUUUUGUAGUUUUUUCCUUCUUUUUAUUCUUCAAAUAAAAUGGAUUUGGAAAAAAAGUAAGUUAGACAAGUUUAAGAAUAAAAGGGUGCUGUUACAGUGGGCGGUGGCUUGGAGCCCUGGCCUGCUGUGCAGAAGGCCCUGGAUUCCAUCCCUAGCAGUGCAAAAAAUGACCAUUAUGCCUGGUACCAGAUGUCAACAAGCCAGAUCCACUGGGCCGCAGGCUGUGCUCUGAAUGUGGAGGAAUAUCUGGAGAAACAUCAUCAACCUUUGUGAAGGUUAAAAAUAAGAACUUUUGUUAGUAUUGGGCGGGGGAGACCAUGCAGUCUAAUCUGUACUUCACACUAAAUAAAUUUCAAAUGGAUGAAAAAAAAAAAAA